rnacentral:lncRNA from 1 species
AGGAGCAGACACACACCAAUGUGCGAAUGCAGCUGCAACACUCGCUGGAAGGAGAGGGGACAGUCCUCCCUCCCCAGGGGACAUUUGGCAAUGACUGGAGGAGUUGCUACUGGCAUCUCCUGGGUGGAGGCCAGGCAGGGCUGCUGCUGAACAUCCCUGUCUAGUGCACAGGACAGCCUCCACCACAAAGAAUCAUCCAGCCCCAAAUGUCAACAGCACCGAGGUUGAGAACUCUGUUCUAAGCCCUGAAAUUAUCAUUUGACAAGCGCAAUUAUAAUGCAAUGUCUUUUUGAUGCACCAAAGGCAUUAAUGUCUUCAAUGUGAAUAUUUAAAACACACAGGUGAC